rnacentral:rRNA from 1 species
UACAGAGGUCUCAAGCGUUGUUCGGAUUCAUUGGGCGUAAAGGGUGCGUAGGUGGCGCCGUAAGUCGGGUGUGAAAUUUCGGAGCUUAACUCCGAAACUGCAUUCGAUACUGCGGUGCUUGAGGACUGGAGGGGAGACUGGAAUUCAUGGUGUAGCAGUGAAAUGCGUAGAGAUCAUGAGGAAGACCAGUGGCGAAGGCGGGUCUCUGGACAGUUCCUGACACUGAGGCACGAAGGCCAGGGGAGCAAACGGG